AAAUGCAAAUGAUGGCACAGUGAAGGUGAUCGAAAAUGGUGUCUCCACAACUGGACGAUUCUCAUUCAAGAUGUUUACAUUUGAUGAUGAUGAAUCCAAGGUUUUCCUUCACUGCAGCAUUCACCUUUGCCUUUUGAGAAAUAACAACUGUGCAGUGCAUUGCUUCCCUGGAAAUCAUCGUUCAGGCAGAUCUGUGGACGUCCAUGAUAGGGCCUCAAUUUCCAUGGGGCCUUUUAUUUGGUCCACAAAACGCUGAGGUCUGUAAAGUCCACAAGGAAAUGAAAAGGCAUUUUAUCGAUUUCCUGAUUAUAUGGAUGAUUCACUGAAGGCAAAACAAUUUCCUGCUAAUAAUUUCUCUGUUAAUGCAUUUUCAAUUAAUCAUAAAACAAUUGUAUUACUCCAUGAGCGAACCUGUCUUUAUAAUUGACUUACACAUUGGUUUUUAUUAAUAUUAACCAUGAGGGGAUUUUUGCUGUGAAUAAAUCAGAAAGUAUGUACCCUGAGGAACAGUACAGUUUAUACUGACAUGCUUUAAUGAAUAAAAUUAGACUGUAAAUCAAUGUUGUGUGGUUAAAUAAUCUAAAAUGUAUUCUUCAGCUCAUCAAAUAAUUCUACUGUAAUUCUGAAAAUGUUUUCCAUGUCUGUGUUGCUCAAUAAAUUCUCUCUAACUCUCUAACAAAUGUUCUAUUUAUUUUCCAUCAUCCCCAUGCAUAUCACACACUGUACAAUCUAAUAGCUGUCAUGACUUGCAUAGAUAAGUUGCCAGUACAAAUAUGUACUACAUAAUAUUUUUUAUAAAGUAACAUAUAAUUGCAGGGUAAAAAAGUACAUUUUACUGUUUAAUCUGAGUGAAGUUAACAUGGCUUAAGUCAUGAUCACUCGCUAAUUUUAUUUUGAUUCAACCUAAUCGGGUUUAAGUUACUAUCACAUCAGGGCUUCAUUUGCUGUCCCGUGCUAAGAGCGAGUAUUUUCUAACAAACCCUAAAAGCAACCAGUUCUGCACAUGUGCUGUAGAAGUCAUCGGACGUCUCGCACCGUGUCAACAUAUUCACAAUUUAAGGAUCUCUUCAUGUAAAGCUAACAAACACUGCACAAGUGGAGCACUCUUCAGAGAGGGAGAAGAGAGACUUCUCUUCUGUGUGGUGUGUUGGGCAGUGACUGUAAGAGUGGACACUGAUACGACCACUGAAUAGUUUGAGUAGCUGAUGACCUUCCAACUGUCUUGGAAUAUGCAGAGUUCAACAGGAUUGCCACCACAAAUCUAGAAAACGAUUUUUGUUGUUUGAAGGCGUAAGUCUUCUAAAGUGUUUCUUAAUGUAAUUUUUUGGUAAGCGAGCAUAAAUACUGUAUUUUAAGAAAUGGCAAAUUGCAGUAGUGUUGAAACACUAGGUCCUUUGUCCCUGAUAAACUGUGUACUAGAUUUGGAUAUGACUUCUCUCCACUAAAAAAAAAAACAUUUAGAUAAAACUCUUUUCAUGUACACUUUUGUGUUCAUAUUGUAACAUUGAAUAUUGUAUUAUCCUAAACUUAAUUUGUUCUUUCCAUUAGAAGCCAGAUGUGGCAGCACAACGUCCCCUUGUUCUCAGAGGCCUCCCAAUACUACUUGGUGACGAGCCGAGUAACUUCUACAACACUGCCUUUGUAAGUUCUUACACAGUUCCAGACAAAUAAGAAUAUGGAAUAUGUCCCUGUGAGUUCAGUACUAGAAGGGAGCGCAGUGGUGCAUUGGGUAGUUCUGGUCACUCACAGCAAGAAUGAACUGGGUUCAAUCCAGCUAGCUGACAGAUGUGGAAGAUUGCAGCAGGAAUAUUUUUGUGUACAGUAAAAAUGAUCCAUGGCCAAUGUGUUGAUGCAGGAAAAUGCAGGUUUGUGUAAAAUGAUUCCACUGUUUGUUUUUGUCUUGGCCAACCUGUUGGAUCUGUCCGGUCCAACAGGCAGGUCACACCAGAAAAACACAGGUGAUAAUCACAGCAGUCAGGUGAUGCUUCUGAGGAAUGCUGCAGAUGACAGCCGAAAUGUAAAAAGUAACACGGUUGUCAAACAAAAAGUAACCGUGAAAUUAAUGAUAAACUAAUGAACAAGACUUGAAGGCUGUGUAGGCAGGACAGAUAGAUAAUAUUUCACUGUUGUAAUGGAGUUUUUGUGUCAUACAGGAUUCAAACGAUAAUGAGGGCUGGGCACAGGUGACUGUUGGCUUGCUGACUGGAAGGAGGUAUUAUGAUAGCCAAUCUCACGAGCUUACCACAAGCAUUUUGCCUUUUGUUUGGCCUGUCUUAUGCUCUCCACCUUGAAUACCCAAGGGUCAUGAGAAACACGUUAAACUUGAUCCAGAGAGUGAUGCUUAGGCUGGGAGAGAACAAACUCCCAAAACUCCAAACUCUAAAAAAUCUCCUGUUGAGUAAGUGAAAUAAAUGAAGAGUUAGCUUUAGAGUAGAAGUAGUGCUGGUUGAUAUUGUUGCCAUUGUUAAGUCAUUAUUGCACUACUUUGAAAUUAUUUGUUUUUGCUAUUAUUGUGUUGAAAGCAAAAAACACUUGGUGCAGUUACAUAGAGGUUUUUAAAUGCCUUAUGCUCAGACUAUUCUGUUAGUAUAACUUAUAUUUAACAAUUAUUCUUGCAAUUGUUCUUGCAAUGCCAGUUGCUAUUGUCUGCUAAGUCAUUAUGGCACUUCUUUGAAACAAAGUUUUUAUUUUUACUUUAGUUACAGGCCACAUUCCUGACUGUUUUAACAGAUGCAAAUGUUUUAAAGCUGUGGUGUGAAAAUUAAAGGGUUGAGAAAUAAACCUGUUA